rnacentral:rRNA from 1 species
AUGGAGGACGAAGUGCCUGGUUCGCAGAGGAAGGGGACGAAGGAGAGUACUGAAGAUCUCUUGGCUCGUCUGAAUCUACAGGAAAAAGAGGAUGACGACUUCGUUUGGGAAGAGGAGCUCCCUGAUCUAAGGUCUGCAGCUAAGUGGCUAGCGAUUGCUAGGGUUCAUACCCCAAAAACUUUCAGUCCGAGCGCGCUCUAUGGGGACAUGCGAGCAGCGUGGAAUCCAGCAAAAACUGUGAGUUGGAGGAGGAUCAAUGAGAACCUUUUCACCGCGCAGUUCGGGUGCUUAGCAGAUUGGAACAAGGCAAUGUUUGAAGGACCAUGGCUUUUCAAGAGACAGGCAGUCAUAAUGAAGGAGUAUGAUGGAUUUAAAAAUCCUGAGUCAAUCCAGUUGGACAAACUCACAGUAUGGGCGCAGAUCCAUCGCCUCCCAGAUAACUUCUUAAUUGAACGGGCAGUUCGAGGUAUGGUUUCACGCAUUGGUGAGGUGGAGGAGAUUCAGUUAAGGCUACCAGCUGGUUUCUUCGGGGAAUUUGUCCGCGUAAAAGUUAGUAUUGACAUCAAUGCCAAGAUAAAGCGUUUUGUGACGGGAAAGAAGGGGGACGAAAGAGUUCGCUAUCAAGUGAAGUAUGAGAAGCUACCCACCUUCUGUUUCAAUUGUGGCGAAUUCGGUCACUGGUAUGAAAAGUGUGGGGACGGUGAGCAUGAUGUAUCGUCUUUUGAAUGGGGGGAGUUUGUGCUAGCUGAUGCUUUCAGAGUGGGGCAUGAUGGCCGUGGUGUGGCGGGACCCUAG